rnacentral:lncRNA from 1 species
UGCAUUUAAAUACUUUCACCAAGAAACUUUACUUGGUGCAGCAAAUCUACUUGGUGCACUGCAUUUAAGAGAGACUGCUAACUGCAUGGAGGUUGUUGGAGAGAAUAUCAACGUAGGAACAUGCGUUCCGUAUUUUAUACAACGUGUGACGUAAUACACAAGUUAUUCCUAAACAAGAACACGUAACGUUACAUUUGGCGCGC